rnacentral:rRNA from 1 species
CACUGCCGAGAAAAGCCUCUAGAUAGAAAAUAGGUGCCCGUACCGCAAACCGACACAGGUAGUCAAGAUGAGAAUUCUAAGGUGAGCGAGCGAACUCUCGUUAAGGAACUCGGCAAAAUGACCCCGUAACUUCGGGAGAAGGGGUGCUCUUUAGGGUUAACGCCCAGAAGAGCCGCAGUGAAUAGGCCCAAGCGACUGUUUAUCAAAAACACAGGUCUCUGCUAAACCGUAAGGUGAUGUAUAGGGGCUGACGCCUGCCCGGUGCUGGAAGGUUAAGAGGAGUGGUUAGCUUCUGCGAAGCUACGAAUCGAAGCCCCAGUAAACGGCGGCCGUAACUAUAACGGUCCUAAGGUAGCGAAAUUCCUUGUCGGGUAAGUUCCGACCCGCACGAAAGGCGUAACGAUUUGGGCACUGUCUCAACGAGAGACUCGGUGAAAUCAUAGUACCUGUGAAGAUGCAGGUUACCCGCGACAGGACGGAAAGACCCCGUGGAGCUUUACUGUAGCCUGAUAUUGAAAUUCGGCA